AGGGGGGGACGACCCCCCCCCUAAAAUAAAUUGAGGGGGGGACGUGUCCCCC
rnacentral:ncRNA from 1 species